AUGGAAUCCGACCACUACAAGCAGCAGUACUAACAAAACAGCAGCAGCAGCAGCAGCCCAUAUCCAGUAGUUUGUUGUCUUUUUCCGCUUAAGGAUGGCUCUUGGAAGAGAAUCUGGGCCUCUUUUUUUAUUCCUGUGCCUGAUAGUGUUCUCCUUUUGUUCCUUGGUCUUUGAUGGGACUGGAGGUUCAACAUUCACAUUGGUCUUUUCCACUUCAACCACCUCUGCAUCUGCUGCUUCAGUUGGUUCCUCAUUGGUAGCUGUUGCAGAUGAAGCAGCCUUCUUCUUUGCUUUUUUUUCUCUCUCCUGUAACAAGUGCAAUAAAAGUACAAUCAGUUUUGCCAUACCACAAGAAAAAGCUAGCUAC
rnacentral:lncRNA from 1 species